AGUGAACGCUGGCGGUAGGCCUAACACAUGCAAGUCGAACGGCAGCACAGUAAGAGCUUGCUCUUACGGGUGGCGAGUGGCGGACGGGUGAGGAAUACAUCGGAAUCUACUUUUUCGUGGGGGAUAACGUAGGGAAACUUACGCUAAUACCGCAUCCGACCUACGGGUGAAAGCAGGGGAUCUUCGGACCUUGCGCGAUUGAAUGAGCCGAUGUCGGAUUAGCUAGUUGGCGGGGUAAAGGCCCACCAAGGCGACGAUCCGUAGCUGGUCUGAGAGGAUGAUCAGGCACACUGGAACUGAGACACGGUCCAGACUCCUACGGGAGGCAGCAGUGGGGAAUAUUGGACAAUGGGCGCAAGCCUGAUCCAGCCAUACCGCGUGGGUGAAGAAGGCCUUCGGGUUGUAAAGCCCUUUUGUUGGGAAAGAAAAGCAGCAGGUUAAUACCCCGCUGUUCUGACGGUACCCAAAGAAUAAGCACCGGCUAACUUCGUG
rnacentral:rRNA from 1 species